AUUGAACGCUGGCGGAAUGCUUUACACAUGCAAGUCGAACGGCAGCACGGGGCAACCUGGUGGCGAGUGGCGAACGGGUGAGUAAUACAUCGGAACGUGCCCAAUCGUGGGGGAUAACGUAGCGAAAGUUACGCUAAUACCGCAUACGAUCUACGGAUGAAAGCGGGGGAUCGCAAGACCUCGCGCGAAUGGAGCGGCCGAUGUCAGAUUAGGUAGUUGGUGGGGUAAAGGCUCACCAAGGCUACGAUCUGUAGCUGGUCUGAGAGGACGACCAGCCACACUGGGACUGAGACACGGCCCAGACUCCUACGGGAGGCAGCAGUGGGGAAUUUUGGACAAUGGGCGCAAGCCUGAUCCAGCCAUUCCGCGUGCAGGAUGAAGGCCUUCGGGUUGUAAACUGCUUUUGUACGGAACGAAACGGUUCUCUCUAAUACAGGGGGCUAAUGACGGUACCGUAAGAAUAAGCACCGGCUAACUACGUGCCAGCAGCCGCAGUAA
rnacentral:rRNA from 1 species